UACAGAGGGUGCAAGCGUUUGUUCGGAAUUACUGGGCGUAAAGCGUGCGCAGACGGUUGCGUAAGUCAGAUGUGAAAGCCCCGGGCUCAACCUGGGAAUUGCAUUUGAGACUGCGUAGCUAGGGUGCGGAAGAGGGAAGCGGAAUUUCCGGUGUAGCGGUGAAAUGCGUAGAUAUCGGAAGGAACACCAGUGGCGAAAGCGGCUUCCUGGUCCAGCACCGACGUUCAGGCACGAAAGCGUGGGGAGCAAACAGG
rnacentral:rRNA from 1 species